CCUACGGGAGGCUGCAGUGAGGCAUAUUGGUCAAUGGGCGCGAGCCUGAACCAGCCAAGUAGCGUGAAGGAUGACUGCCCUGCGGGUUGUAAACUUCUUUUAUAAAGGAAUAAAGUGAGGCACGUGUGCCUUUUUGUAUGUACUUUAUGAAUAAUGAUCGGCUGACUCCGUGCCAGCAGCCGCGGUAAUACGGAGGAUACGAGCGUUAUCCGGAUUUAUUGGGUUUAAAGGGAGCGUAGAUGGGUUGUUAAGUCAGUUGUGAAAGUUUGCGGCUCAACCGUAAGAUUGCAAUUGAUACUGGCGGGCUUGAGUACAGGUGAGGUAGGCGGAAUGCGUGGUGUAGCGGUGAAAUGCUUAGAUAUCACGAAGAACUCCGAUUGCGAAGGCAGCGUACUAAACCGCCACUGACAUUGAUGCUCGAAAGUGUGGGUAUCGAACAGGAUUAGAUACCCUAGUAGUC
rnacentral:rRNA from 1 species